rnacentral:rRNA from 1 species
ACCAAGGCAAUGAUGCGUAGCCGAACUGAGAGGUUGAUCGGCCACAUUGGGACUGAGACACGGCCCAAACUCCUACGGGAGGCAGCAGUAGGGAAUCUUCCACAAUGGGCGAAAGCCUGAUGGAGCAACGCCGCGUGGGUGAAGAAGGUCUUCGGAUCGUAAAACCCUGUUGUUAGAGAAGAAAGUGCGUGAGAGUAACUGUUCACGUUUCGACGGUAUCUAACCAGAAAGCCACGGCUAACUACGUGCCAGCAGCCGCGGUAAUACGUAGGUGGCAAGCGUUAUCCGGAUUUAUUGGGCGUAAAGGGAACGCAGGCGGUCUUUUAAGUCUGAUGUGAAAGCCUUCGGCUUAACCGGAGUAGUGCAUUGGAAACUGGGAGACUUGAGUGCAGAAGAGGAGAGUGGAACUCCAUGUGUAGCGGUGAAAUGCGUAGAUAUAUGGAAGAACACCAGUGGCGAAAGCGGCUCUCUGGUCUGUAACUGACGCUGAGGUUCGAAAGCGUGGGUAGCAAACAGGAUUAGAUACCCUGGUAGUCCACGCCGU